rnacentral:rRNA from 1 species
AACGAACGCUGGCGGCAUGCCUAACACAUGCAAGUCGAACGAGACCUUCGGGUCUAGUUGCGCACGGGUGCUUAACGCGUGGUAACCUGCCCUUAGGUUCGGAAUAACUCCCCGAAAGGUGUGCUAAUACCGGAUAAUGUCUUCGGACCAAAGAUUUAUCGCCUUUGGAUGGGCCCGCGUUGGAUUCGCUAGUUGGUAGUGUAAAAGCCUACCAAGGCGACGUUCCAUAGCUGGUCUGAGAGGAUGAUCAGCCACACUGGAACUGAGACACGGCCCAGACUCCUACGGGGGGCAGCAGUGGGGAAUAUUGGACGAUGGGCGAAAGCCUGAUCAAGCAAUGCCGCGUGAGUGAUGAAGGCCUUAGGGUUGUAAAGCUCUUUUACCCGGGAUGAUAAUGACAGUACCGGGAGAAUAAGCUCCGGCUAACUACGUG